rnacentral:rRNA from 1 species
UACGAAGGGUGCAAGCGUUACUCGGAAUUACUGGGCGUAAAGCGUGCGCAGGCGGUUUUGUAAGCCAGAUGUGAAAUCCCCGGGCUUAACCUGGGAAUGGCAUUUGGGACUGCAAGGCUUGAGUUUGGCAGAGGAGACUGGAAUUCCUGGUGUAGCAGUGAAAUGCGUAGAUAUCAGGAGGAAUACCGAUGGCGAAGGCAGGUCUCUGGGCUAGAACUGACGCUCAUGCACGAAAGCGUGGGGAGCAAACAGG